rnacentral:lncRNA from 1 species
CGAGUGUUGAUUUCACCUUUCAAUUUGUGUCCAAUUAAGACCUAUACAACCAGGCUAUAUAGGCUAUUCAUCAAAGUAGCCUAUUUUGCAUUGAUAACCAAAUAAUCUCAGCGACUGUUCAAGCAUACCAUCGUCAAGAAUCCACCCAAAAAGGUGUGAUCUCAGAAUGCCAGGAGGAAAGGUCCCAACUGAAAAAUAAAAAAAGGCCAUGAAGGUUCUACAUACCAAACUCUAUAGUAUGAGGCUGGAAGAAGAGACCAGUAAGCGAUAUACUGCACGGAAAGUCCAGGUAGAUCUGAGAAAAUCAGGAACGACAACUUUCCCCAGGAACCGAAUCACAGAUCAUUGGAUUGGAAAAACGGUGCAUGAUGUCCGAGAGCUCCUUGAGGAAAUUAAUCUGGCACUACAGGAGCUCCCUAAGCAGGAGAGUCAUUGACAUUCUUGGAGAAAAUGACUCUGAUCAAUAAUAGCCCAGUGUAUUUGUUUGCCCAACUCACAUACUUAGAGCCCACUUAACACAUUCCGCUCACGAGUGUGAAAUUCCAGUCCACAAACUGCUUUUGUUGCUCAUUUUGCAGUAAAACUUCAAAAUAUGUCAGUAUAGAACUUUUCUCAAAUCCUUUCAUUUGAGAACCGAAAGUCUUGCCCAAGAAAUUACAUUUGUGUGUGACAUGACAGGUACAGUAGAUUCGGAAAGAAUUCAGACCCCUUGACUUUUUCCACAUUUUGUUACCUAACAGCCUUAAAAUAAAAUGGAUGAAAUAAUUUUUCCCCCUCAUUAAUCUAACCACAAAACCCCAAGCGAAAACAGGUUUUUAGACAUUUUUGCAACUUUAUUAAAAAUAAAAAACAAAUACCUUAUCUACAUAAGCAUUCAGACCCCUUGCUAUUAGACUCGAAAUUGAGUUCAGGUGCAUCCUGUUUCCAUUGACCAUCCUUGAGCUUUUUCUACAACUUGAUUGGAGUCCACCCGUGGUAAAAUCAAUUGAUUGGACAUAAUUUGGAAAGGCACACACCUGUCUAUAUAACGUCCCACAGUUGAAAGUGCAUGUCAGAGCAAAAACCAAGCCAUGAGGUCGAAGUAAAUGUCCGUAGAGCUCCAAAGCAGGAUUGUGUCGAGGGACAGAUCUGGGGAAGGGUACCAAAAAAUGUCUUCAGGGUACCAAAAAAGGUCCCCAAGAACACAGUGGUCUCCAUCAUUCUUAAUGGAAGAAGUUUGGAACCACCAAGACUCUUCCUAGAUCUGGCAGCCUGGCCGAACUGAGCAAUCGGGGAAGAAGG